UCUCUCUCUCUCUCUCUCUCUCACAUACCUCUUCCCCUUCCCCUUCGAGUCUUCUGUGUUUAAUCUUCUCUCCUUCUCAACUAUUUUUUCUUGAAGUUUGGAUAUUAAGUUUGAUUUAGCAAUCCGCCUUCGACUCGGCCUCUGGUGCCUUCAACUCCGCCUCUGGUGCCUUCAACACUGCCUCUGGCGCCUUCAAUUCCAAACUCUGCUGCUGCAUUAAACAAAGUAACGAGACUGUUGGGACAGGUGGGGAGAGCUUUCUCAGAGAU